UGCGUAGGGACCAAGCGUUGUUCGGAUUUACUGGGCGUAAAGGGCGCGUAGGCGGCGCGGUAAGUCACUUGUGAAAUCUCUGAGCUUAACUCAGAACGGCCAAGUGAUACUGCAGUGCUAGAGUGUGGAAGGGGCAAUCGGAAUUCUUGGUGUAGCGGUGAAAUGCGUAGAUAUCAAGAGGAACACCUGAGGUGAAGACGGGUUGCUGGGCCAACACUGACGCUGAUGCGCGAAAGCCAGGGGAGCAAACGGG
rnacentral:rRNA from 1 species